GCCGGUAUUCGGUUUCGAAACGCUAUGCAAAAGUUGCGUAAAUUGCUCGGUUCGGAAUACCUGUGACGUGCUUUCCAAAAUUAUUGAGGAUAUAUAUAUAAGGAUUCGAUUCUCGAUUAUUUUUUUAUUUUAAUUCGAAUAUUAAAAAAACUACAGUAAUUAAUUUAUACACAUGUACUAUAUUUUUGAGAUAAAAGUUAAAAAAAAAAUCGUUGUAAUAAUUCAUCUUCCUCACAACGCGGAAAAUUAUUCCACGUGAAAACAAAAAUUUCAUCGUUAUUUGAAAUCUUGUGGAUUAUUAAAAAAAUAUUAAAAUUCUAUCUUUCCGAUUAAUCUUGCCAAAAUGAAAAAAAAAGAAAAAAAAUGUUACAAUGUUGAAAAAAAAAACAUUCCUUUAAAAACGUCAAAGCAAAUCCCCCCGUUUCCCAACGAAUUUCCCCUAAAUUAUCCCCACCCAAUGAAAAACUACCGUGUGUUAAACAACGAGGUGUGAAAAAUCGGCGGUGGAAUAUUCUCUCCACAUGGCGAAGACAGAGACGAAAUUCUCGUGCAGCCGCGAGAGAAUGAAAUUACAUACGCCUGUUAAUGAAAUCUCGCCAAUGUAACACGUUCAAACGCGUGGGGAAAGAAAAGAAAUUUUCGCUCGUGUAACAUGGCUUCUAAUGACGAUUUUAAUCAGCGCAAGGUGGGUAAGCCUCGCGAGAUCUACGGCAGAGGGCAGACUUAAAAGAGUUAAGAAGAUGGCCGUUAACCGUCCUUUUGCCAAGUUUUAUGGUCGAGCUCGUGCUAAUGCGCUACACUUUGUCGUACGUCGUGCUACGUUGCCCAUUAAUGGAAUCUUGGAUUAAGAAAGGGGAGAGGGAGAAGUGUAAAUAUUGCUAACUGGCAGCGGUGAUAAGUGGCCGAAAGAAUUUCUCGUUCGGUUAAGCGGCUAUAAGAAGAAGAGGUUAUGUCGGCGGAACAAAUAUGGAGACGUCUCGUCGCGCUUCGACGAGUUUCGAAAAAGAGCGGAUGAGCAGAUUCAGAAAUGCGCGGUUAAAAUCACUAUCCAUGAAAACCGAACGCUGGCUAAAUGAUCAUGAAAAGAAGUAGGAUGAGGGUAAGUAGGGUCGCAGCCAUUCUGUCGCCGCUUCCGUGAUGCAUCGCUGCUGGAUGCUCUGCAACAAACGGAAAUUUACGAUGUGAUGUAAAAAAACACUAUUUUUCCUUCCCGUUGCAUUGUAACGAAUUACACCGAUAAGAUAACGCUAGUAACGAGACUGUCGAGAGAAGAGAUCAGAAUGAAUCUCGUUUCUUGACGUUUUUUUUUCUUAUAUUAUAUUCGAGGAUAAGGAAAUAUAGGUUAAAUUAGAGAUCGAAGUGACAAUCAUUCUAUUUUAUAUAUAUUUUUUUCAUAUGCUCAAUGAACAGAGAAAUCGAUAUAAAUCAUUGUUCCCCGAAACGAAAAUUAUCGAAACAGUUUCUUAAAUCGAAAAAAAAAUAACGUGAAUUCUGAGAGAAACAAAUCCAAUUUUGACUGGUUAAACUGGUAGAAGAAAUCGUUUUAAAAAGUUGUAAACAAUCGUUCGAUAUCGACAUGUUUCGUUAUGUUUCAAGCAAUUAAACUUAAUUUGUACGAGCGUCAUCCUCUAAUACGUUCGAGCGAUGCGUAAAUGAAAUUUCUGAAACUUGCGAAACUGUUUGGAACGCGGCGCGUUUACUCGCGGCAAACUCUUCCGCCCGAAGUUUGUUCGGGAUGUCGCGCGAAAGGGGGCCAACUUGUACGCGACCGAAGAUUUCAUUUUGAUUACGCCGGUUUACGAAAACUCGUUUGCGCCGUGUUUCAAGCGCCACACCUCGGCAACAAAACGAAUCAAGAUAAUGCCCGCGUUAUUGUAAUAACGUCGCUCCUUUCCGUGAACCAAAACACGCCGAUAUUUAAUUUUAAAGCGGUCGCCUAUUUAGGUCAAUGCGAUGCAAAACUAUUUUCAGCCAGCUUUUCUACAAGGAAGACGAAGCAUUCUCGUGAAAUUUGUUCCAUUUGGACAAUUAUAAUAAAGGGAUCAUUAAAGAAUGAUAUCGAAGUGUAGUUUCACAUUUCGAUUGAUCGCUUGACAUGAGACACACGAAAAUUUUUAUCGAUAAUAACUAUUCGAUGUUGUUGAUCGUUUCGUACGUAAAUUAGAAUUUUUCUGCUCAAAAAAAAAAAGAUAUAUAAAGUAUUAAUAUACACUUAUUUAUCGUCCUGUAAGUAUUUUAAAAUUGCAUUAGAUGAAACGAAACAAUCAAAAUAAGAUGAAUCUAUCUUCCAAAACAAAUUCAAACUAUUUACUUAAUUUAAAAUCACUCCUUUCACGAAAAUACUUCAUCGAACCAUGAAUAAUACAGCGUUCAAAAUAACAGUAACUAUUAAAAGUAUCCAUUCGAAGAAAGAUUAGAGAAUUGAAAUUUAUUUUCUUUCCAUUUACCAUUGACGAUAUGGACGUGCACGCUGCUCGAGUGGGUGUUGCUCGGCGAGCAUGUGUACAGGCCGGCGUCUCUCUCGAUCGCCUUCUGGAUUAGUAAACGGCUGGAAGUCACGGGUCCCUUCUCCGUGACCAAGCUGAUCCCGCCCCUCGGCGAGUCGAAGUUAAUCGCCUGCGAAAGAAGAAAAGAAGACAGACAGAGCGCGCCUAGCAUUACCUCGUGGCUGCAACCGAAUAGAGCCACUCCAGACGAGGGGGACGACAAGUGUCUUCUCAGAGUGGCGAGAUCCAUUCCAACGGAACAAAUGCCUUUAAAACACGUUCCCGUACUGAAGAUCCUACCGCUACUAUUCCCCUUUCGUGUUUUUAAGUAAACGGGCGCGGUCGAUAACAAUGCAACUAAAUGGACCGAUGUUUUAUUUUAUUCUUCGUUUCUAUUACGUAGACGAUUUCUUUUUUUUUUUUAUGAAUUUAAUUCAGCCUUGAGGCUUAUUUGUUCAUCGUGCUAGUUUUAGGUAAAUAUUAUUGGUUCAAUCGAGACAAGUAAUGUUCUAAGUAAUGUUUUGUUUUAUUUUUCAUCCAAAUAAUAUAGAUAAAUGAUCUAUUAUUGAUUUGAUCAAGAGUUCCGAGUCUUUUAAAUCUUGGAGAACAGUCAGAUUUUGUAACUUUUGAAUUUUUUUCUUUUUGACGAAUACGUUGCUUUCAUCUGACACGUUUUGAGGUUUGUUUGUUGUUCGCAUGCAACAAUGUCGCGAUAAUAAAUAAAUGAUUCGUUAUUGGUUGGACAUUCCGAGUUUUUUUAAGUCGAACAUUCUAUUGUCACUAUAUGUUGCGUGUAGUUUUAGUUGGAUCAUUUAUAAUUUGUCGAAUAAUUGAGAAUUUUGAAAAAUUCUGACUUCCCUUUCCAACUCAUCGAACGCUUAUAUAUACAAAGAAAAAAAAAAAGAUUUACUCGCAGUACACCUCAUCUUAAUGAUCGAGAUAAAAUAACUAAUUAAAAUAAAAACGAGAUACAAACCGGAAAAGACGUAAAACAAGAAAAAAAACAACUCGUUCACGAUAUGUUCCAGCCGUGCCGCUUCUUCAAUUGUUCGUAAUAAACGAAGACGAGAAGAAGAGGGUUUGGUUACAAUAGGGUUUCUCCGAUAGAUGAUAAAUCAUCAUGGUUGACGAAGGGCCAUCCUCGGCCCUCAAUCAAUACCAGAUUUAUCCGAGUCGUGAAUAAUUUACGUUCCAGCUAUCUUUAUUUACGCGCCUGCCCUCCACGCAUCGUUGUCCAGGAACAAUCGCGAGCUUGUUAGCCGACUUCAUAAAUAACUCGGCUCGUAGGAACGCUUUCGACUGGUGCACACCGGUAAUCGAUAUCAUAGGAUAACAAUGGAUAGCCACGUGUGUGUGUAUGUACAAUACAUGCGUACAAAUACGUGUGUACCAGCGAUCCUUUUUAAAAGGAAAGAAAAACGAAAAUAUCGAUUAUUAGAAAGUGGCGAUUAUUAUUGUUAUUCUGCUCUUGUUCUUUAAUAAAAAUUUUAAUGAAAUGAA